rnacentral:rRNA from 1 species
GACGAACGCUGGCGGCGUGCUUAACACAUGCAAGUCGAACGGAAAGGCCCUGCUUUUGUGGGGUGCUCGGGUGGCGAACGGGUGAGUAACACGUGAGUAACCUGCCCUUGACUUUGGGAUAACUUCAGGAAACUGGGGCUAAUACCGGAUAGGAGCUCCUGUUGCAUGGUGGGGGUUGGAAAGUUUCGGCGGUUGGGGAUGGACUCGCGGCUUAUCAGCUUGUUGGUGGGGUAGUGGCUUACCAAGGCUUUGACGGGUAGCCGGCCUGAGAGGGUGACCGGCCACAUUGGGACUGAGAUACGGCCCAGACUCCUACGGGAGGCAGCAGUGGGGAAUAUUGCACAAUGGGCGGAAGCCUGAUGCAGCAACGCCGCGUGCGGGAUGACGGCCUUCGGGUUGUAAACCGCUUUCGCCUGUGACGAAGCGUGAGUGACGGUAAUGGGUAAAGAAGCACCGGCUAACUACGUG